rnacentral:rRNA from 1 species
AUGGUGGGGGGUUUGAUCAAAGUAUUCAAUGAGUGGGAGAUCCAGCUACUUGUGCUCCUCAGCUUCACACUACAAUUGUUCCUCUUGUUUGCUGGAAACCUUCGGCGCCGCAGGUCCAAUGGGUUCCUACGGGUCCUCAUUUGGUUAGCUUUCUUGGGGGCAGACUUGGUAGCAGUUUAUGCCCUUGGCCUUCUCUCACGACGAGAGAACAACAUCACCACCAUCAUUGACAAGGGAAGCCAACCACUAGCUUUCUUUUGGGCACCAUUUCUCCUCAUCCACCUUGGUGGACAGGACACAGUUACCGCCUUCUCCAUGGAGGACAACAACUUGUGGCUGAGGCAUUUGCUGAAUCUGGUGGUGCAAGUUGUCCUAGCAUUCUAUGUUUUCUGGAGAUCCAUCAGAAGCUUAGACAGCUUGGGGUUUCUCACUUCAGGUGUCCUUGUGUUUGUUGCUGGAAUUAUCAAGUAUGGAGAGAGAACAUGGUGUCUUAAGCGUGGGAGUCUUAAAGGCCUUGAGAGCUCAACACGGGUCCUAACAACAUGGAGUUUUCUGCAUCUGGAUCCUGCUAUUCAGGGCUAUUCUAAGGCUGUUUAUGAUGCUCUCAGGUCAGUGUCAUAUGCCCUCCACAUCUUUUCAGCACGUGGUUACUGUAUGAGCAACUUCUACCCGCCAGGAGACAUCAACCAAACGGUGAAGAUAGGGCGGCUUCAGCUUGGCCUAGUGUACGACGAGCUCUACACAAAGGCUGUUGUACUCAGAACAAAGAGCGCCAUGAUAUUCAGAUACAUCUCUCAGUUAUCCAUUGUUGUUGCUUUUGGGCUCUUCCACGCAAUUGUAGACAAACAGAGGUAUGCCAAAGUCGACAUUGCAAUCACCUAUUCACUAUUUAUCGGAGGAUUUUUCAUAGAAGUCUGGUCAAUAAUACUUAAUUCCACGACAUCACCACGGACGUGGUUGAUGUUGAAGCGCCGGAAGUGGGAGAGGCUUGCGAAGUUGUCCUGGUUUAUUUUUUCCAAUGAUAUCAUUGGCUUGUCGGAGAAGAAGCAACGGUGGCCAAGUUCAAUCGGACAGUACGACCUUGUAGGUUGGAUGAAUGGUACCCGAGGGACUAGAUUCAGUCAACGAGUGAUGACCGUGGUCAUAAGGGUGUUCGUUGGUUUCUUUGGUGGCGAGAAGGUGAAUAUAUUUUGGAUGAGCAAAGUGUUAGACACCUGGUACAUGGAUGCUGAUGAGAUGACCAUGGCGUGUGUUGCAAAGGAGAUUAUUGUCUUAGAUUAUGAACUCAGAGGGAUGCCCACUCGAGAAUGGCCAAAUGUUGGCUCGAUGUUGGCAAAAAGGAUGCAGGGUUUUGAACAAUUUUUUGCUAGGACUGUCGUGGAGAUGCAUGUUCUGACUGAGUUACUCUUGAAUAAAUACUCCCGUCUUUUAGAUUCAGACAUGGUAGCAUCAGCAGAAGAUUAUGGUAGUAUGGUGCGGGUAUGCCGUAAACUAUCCAACUAUAUGAUGUACCUUUUGGUUGCCCACCCUACCAUGCUGCCACUCACUACCAGCACUGCAGGUCUGUGGAUAAAUUUUCAGAGCCCAUAUAAGGUGAGCGAUUUGUCAAAGGAAAUGGACAAGUACGAUCUCCAGCCAACCAAGGAAACAAUAGAGGAGAUGGUACACAUGUGGAUGAGGAUUCUUCUCUAUGCCGCUAGCAAGUCCAGGGCAGAGUUGCACGUGGCGCAACUGGCCAACACGGGAGGGGAGCUCAUCACCUUUGCCUGGCUAGUCAUGGCUUUCUUCCAGAUUGGUGAUACCCAAAGGAGAAGGAUUUCUAUCAUGAAAACACCUAAUGGAGAGACCAACGCUGAAUCGAAGGCUUACGCCUUCGACGUCAUUGCAAGUACAAGCGAGCAUGGCAGUAGCAGGCCUUCGUCGUCACCGGAUGAAAGGGCCGUCGUCAUCGAGUGA